AGGAUGUAGCAAGUCAUCCUGCACCUGAAAUUAUGAAAUUCUCUGUUCUUGACACAUGUAGUCAUCUCCACAGCAACUGACUGUCAUGUCACAGAGCAGACAAGAAUAUGAACAGAAAGAGAAAUAGCACCAGCGAAUGAGCUGAACCAUGAUUCCACUUCCAUGCAAAUAGUCUAAGUCAGAAAAAUAAAAGGAACAAAAUCUCUUAACAUGAAGACAUCAUUGCUGGGAGGAGAAAAUGGUAGAAUUCAUGUAAAGACCAAGUUGGCAAUAUCUAUCAAAAUGAUAAAUAUAUUUACUUUAGGGCUAGCAAAACCACUUCUGAGAAUUUAUUCUCCUGAUUCUCUCCACACACAAAAUAUGUAGGCUGAUCCUGUGACAAGUGAUGGCCAAUGGGCUGCAAGUGGGGCGUCCUUCAGGGCUGAACAUCUACUUGCUGUGGUGAGAACCUCCAGCCUUCUCUUCUGCCAUGGUGAUCAUGGAAGUCUCUGUUGAGAGGCUCACAAGAGUGAGGUACCUGGUACCAUUUAGCCACCACAUGAAGAACAGCUGCCUGGAGAGUUUUCCAGAUCCAAAGUGAACCUGAGAUAUUUGGAUUGUUCCUAGAGCAUCAUCUAGCUUAUCCUAACUGGUACACUGUGUGCUGUUAGUUAGCUAUAGCUUUGGUCAACCUCAAAACAAACUGGAAUCACGCAGUGAACUAGAAGUUAAACUCCUAGCCACCAUCCCAGAACAUGCUGAAGGAAUAACCAUAACUAUUGCCAUCACUAAUAACUGUUCACACAAGGCAAGGGAGAAGACACAAAUCCCUAUAGGAGUUAGUGGCACCUCUAUUGAUGGAAAUGGAAAGAAAAUACCAAUUCUGGCAACUCUGGAAAACAAAGAAUUUCAGUUUGUUGUGCCACAAUUAAAUUCUUUUGUUUUGGUUAGCAACAGACUCAUGAAAUAAGACUUAAAGACAAGUCUUCACUUAAA